GCCGAGUCGGGUUUCUGGUCCCUGUCGUAAGUUGAAGUGUCUUUACGUAGGGAGCCAUGUUGAGCACAGGGUGACAAAGUAUUCGUUCAACAAAAGCCGGAGAAGUUAUUUUCAUUUCUUGGAGAGCAAUUUAUCAGCAUCUCUGAAAUCUGGAUGUGCUAUAUAAUCUCUUCCGUGUCAGAGAGUAAUUAAUUGGUAGCUCCCUGAGGACACAAAAUAAAGAACAAAAAUACACACUACAGUAAUGCGCCAUUGACACCAGGAACACUUAAUCAACGUCCCAACAAGCUUGCACCUCCAGAAGAGGGAGGAAUAGCCACAGAAGCUACGGAAGUCGGAUAUUGGCCCCGCAGGUCGCCUGGCAUCACAUGGACGGCGGGAUGGCCCUUGGGAACUGCACACAUCUCUCUCAGAUCUGAGGCUCCCUGGCCUACCCCAUGAUGUGAGUGACUGGGACCAUUCCUCAGCCAGAGUUAAUGAUUCCAUCCCAGAAUGCCCUAGACACAGGACUGGACCAAGAAGUCUCCACUCACCUCCUCUGCAGGCCUGGAUUAUAAAGAUCUUUGGUUUCUCUUGAAGUGCCGGACAAUUUUUAUUAUUAAACAUUUCAAAAAUGUCC